rnacentral:tRNA from 1 species
GCAUGACAUAGGAGCGGAAGGUCUACAGUAGAUAGGUUAUUAUUGGUUGUUUAUUAGGGGUAGGCAUUCG